UGAGGCUCGGAUAUAAAUGAGAAAUAUUUGAUCCAUACAGUCCCAGCGACAGCGGUUAUACUUUGGAAGAGUCGAGUAUUA
rnacentral:rRNA from 1 species